AAUUGAGCUAUGGAAGUAUGAUGAUAUUUAUGUUAUGAGGUGCAAAGUAUGAUGCGUUAUUCUAUGGAGUGUUUUAUACGAUGGAUGAAAGUUUAUGCGAAAGUAUAUUUUAGUUUUGAGUCGAAACUUUUACUUUAAAAGUGAGAUGUGGCAAUUUUAGGAAAGUGUGAAAGAGUUUGAAGAAAGCUUUUGUGUCAAAAUUUUAUGAAUGCAAAUGUGAAGUGCGAAAGUGUUUAGCUAUGAGAUGUGAAAAUGUUGUGUGUUUAUCUUGUGGUAUAUAUGACGUUAAUUGUGGUAGAUGUUGAGAUGUGAGAUGAUGAAGUAUGUUGCGAACAUAGAGUGCUUAUGUUGUAGACUAGAUUGUGUAUGCGCGAACCGUAGUUUUAAGUUGAAAUAAUCUAUCACUUUCCCGAGUGACGAAUACGAAUGAGAAUCUGAAAGUUGGGGUGAACCCCUAAUUUGUCAAGGCACGACGAGACAAGGAGAUCGAGAGUGCGAAUGGAGGCCGGUGGACCAUGAAACUUUUUCUUGGAAUUGCGUGAAACUUUGGAGCAAGCUAGGUGCGAACCAUUCAAAGGACGUAAGCAAAUUUCGGGACGAAAUUUUUGUUAAGAUGGGUAGAUUGUAACGCCCGACUUUUCCCUAUUCCUUUAAGUUGUUUUGGAUUACUGUCGAAUCUUUUUUUUAGCCAACUAUCGUUCCGUUUUAUUUUGAGAGCCUAUGGAAUUUAUUUUUUAAGAAGCCGAAAUAUUAAAUAAAGAUUCUGUAGAGAUUUUCCUCCUCCAUGAUCUGCAAAUAAUUUUGAAAAAAAAUAAAAUAAAUUAAAGUAAUGAAUGUCAUAUUAAAAAAAAGGGAAAACAGAAUCAUCCCACUCCCUAUCCCACGUUGAAACCGUUUCCACCCAUCCCACAAAUCUCUCUCAUAUCCUUAACCCCCUUUCCCCUAUAUUAAAUCUUCAACCAUUACUUCUUCUUCUCACCCAACGUAGCUGCAAAAAAGAAAGCGAAAAUCAUUCUUCAACUUCUACUCAAGAAAUUGGAGUCCUUUCGGCAUCAAGACCCUGCCUUUUUAGCCUUGUGAACUUCACAAUCCAAACUCAAUUCACAGAGGUGAAUCAUCGCAAGGGAAUCGUGAUCGCAAGGGAAAGAACGUAAUUUCAAAUUAAGCA